CAAGUCGAACGAGAGAUGAAGAGCUUGCUCUUCAAAUCGAGUGGCGAACGGGUGAGUAACGCGUGAGGAACCUGCCUCAAAGAGGGGGACAACAGUUGGAAACGACUGCUAAUACCGCAUAAGCCCACGGCUCGGCAUCGAGCAGAGGGAAAAGGAGCAAUCCGCUUUGAGAUGGCCUCGCGUCCGAUUAGCUAGUUGGUGAGGUAACGGCCCACCAAGGCGACGAUCGGUAGCCGGACUGAGAGGUUGAACGGCCACAUUGGGACUGAGACACGGCCCAGACUCCUACGGGAGGCAGCAGUGGGGAAUAUUGCACAAUGGGGGGAACCCUGAUGCAGCGACGCCGCGUGGAGGAAGAAGGUCUUCGGAUUGUAAACUCCUGUUGUUGAGGAAGAUAAUGACGGUACUCAACAAGGAAGUGACGGCUAACUACGUGCCAGCAGCCGCGGUAAAACGUAGGUCACAAGCGUUGCCGGAAUUACUGGGUGUAAAGGGAGCGC
rnacentral:rRNA from 1 species